AGACCAUGGUGUGGGCAUCUCUGAAGCAAGUCCUAGUACCUCUCCUAAGCUUCGUACAAAGAUUCAGAGUUAAAUUGUGUGAAAGAUGUAAUAUCAUUCCUCAUCUU
rfam:Theobroma cacao cultivar Matina 1-6 chromosome 2, whole genome shotgun sequence.